GACGAACGCUGGCGGCGUGGAUUAGGCAUGCAAGUCGAACGGUAUAUACUCUUUCGGGAGUAUAGAGAGUGGCGAACGGGUGAGUAACGCGUAGGUAAUCUACCUUCAAGCGGGGGGACAACCCAGGGAAACUUGGGCUAAUACCGCAUGUGGCAGCAAUGCUAAAGCUGGCGUAAGCUGGUGCUUGGAGAGGAGCCUGCGUCUGAUUAGCUAGUUGGUGGGGUAACGGCCUACCAAGGCGAUGAUAAGUAGGCGGCUUUAACGAGUGGUCGCCCACACUGGGAUUGAGAAACGGCCCAGACUCCUACGGGUGGCUG
rnacentral:rRNA from 1 species